ACCAGCUCCUUUAGCCUUAUAGGCUAGUCUCCAAAUCUCCUAGCUUUGCCGUCAUUCUGUUGUAUUUUUUAUGACGCCGAGUGAAGACGGGAAGACUAGGGUACCUUUUUUCCUAGGGAAUUAGGUUCCAACAAGUCCAUGAAACUCUGUCCUUAUUAGGUUUCCAGGAGUUUUUGCCUGGAGUUGCGAAUAAAGCUUAUGAGGAUUUUGCCUUUUAAGUUGGGCGUAAAAUGCCCUCUGAAAAGUAAGCUUUUUGGAAAAUUCUAAGCAACUAGAUCAGGUUUUCUACGAACUGGAAAAAUAUUCCUCUUUUUCACUUUAUGUCCUGAUUGGACUAGAGUGAAAGUGGACUUGUUUUUCUGCACCUGUUCCGUAAGGGAAAAGGUGAACUAGGCGUAGCCUUGAGGAAAACCAGGUGAGCAACUAAUUCUUUCCUAGGCUUAAGACCAGCUAAACCUCGUCAUAGUCUUGAAUUUCCUUGGAUCAGCUCGUCCUCUUUUUAGUAGAACCCACCAUUUUUCCUGGUGAGGAAAAGGUUGGGUUGAGUAUCGAGCUUGUGAGACUCUUUUAAUUUCCUUUCUUGUUAGAGGUUAGCUGAGUUGUCCAUAAAGUCUAUUUUGGGCCUACGUCCUUUUCAGUGAACUCGGCAAGAACUGGCACAACUGUUUUCUAGAAACAUAGGUGCUAGAAAGUCUUAGUGCCUUGUACUGCCAAGGGUUCCUACUGGCAGCAGUAUCUUGACUGUGCCAAAGUACCGUAAUUUCUUGUUGCUUUAUUGGCAACCAGGGAAGUAUACAUGAUGUCAUUCCUUUACUGAAAAGGCCUCGUGAAAUAAUGGCCAUGAUGAACACAGCAUGGGUAUUUUGAGUGAGGAGAAGACCCUUAUUCCUUGAAUAAAAUCCUUUGAGCAACUAUGACUCUUAGGUCAAUAUUUUUCCUGGGGCGAGGCUUCACUAUAAUGUGAAGAGACCCUUCUUAUUUGACCUGGAGACCUUUGUGGAGUUUUCACAAAAGGAAUUAAGGGGCAAUAGGGCAAGAGUUUGAAGACUCUGCUACUUCGACGUUGGACUCUCCAUCUCUCGUGGAAAGAACUACGAUCCAGAACGUCUGUUCGACGUUUAAAAGGAGGCAUGAUCUGAGUUUAAAACGUCGUAAGACAGUUUGGAUUCUAUCUUCUGAACACGAGUCCGAAGCCAAUCUUACAAUCCUCAUGUCGCUACGAAAGGAUGACAUGGGGUAGGCCAAUAGAUUUUCUACGCCAUGACAGAACUUUACUUUUCUGUUUUGUAAGUU
rnacentral:rRNA from 1 species